AACCGACUCUCCCCCCUCCUAUAAAACCCAUUACACCAGAAGGGUGGAAGAACACAUGCCCUUAAGACUCCAGGGUUUCUCUAAAUACCGGAACAUUCGUUACAGGCGCUUUUGAUUUAAGAAAAUGAACUCACACAUCGUCUGCGUGGUUUUGGUGGUUGUUAUCUCAUUACACGCGUGUCUUGCGCAGUUCCCUGGAAUGGGCCCCGGCACCGGCUCCCCCUCAGGUAACCCCAUGCUCGGCAACCCCCUGAUGGCGUACAUGGCCUUCUCUGGCCUAGACCUCAACAAAAUGCUCUACGCCUCCAUGCUGUCCGGCCAGCUAGGCGGAGCAGGUGGGCUUGGAGCCGGCUUGGGAGGAAUGGGCUUGUUUGGGCCAGCCCUUUUUUUCAACGCCAUCAACUAACGAACGACAGCGGGUUGGUCUCUUUACGCCGCUCAAGAACAUUUUGGUGACUUUAAGAUGACUGAGCCGACGUUUAAAAAAAAGUCAGGAGAUUGUACAGCUGGUUGUGUCUUUUCCUAAAAUUUGAUUUGUCACGGGAAAAA